rnacentral:rRNA from 1 species
AAAAAGCAUUGCAUAGCAAGGGCCGGGCAAGACCGGUGCCAGCCGCCGCGGUAACACCGGCGGCUCGAGUGGUAACCGUUAUUAUUGGGUCUAAAGGGUCUGUAGCCGGCCGGAUAAGUCUCUUGAGAAAUCCAGCAGCUCAACUGUUGGGCUUUCAGGAGAUACUGUUCGGCUCGAGGCCGGGAGAGGUGAGAGGUACUUCAGGGGUAGGGGUGAAAUCUUGUAAUCCUUGAAGGACCACCAGUGGCGAAGGCGUCUCACCAGAACGGACCUGACGGCAAGGGACGAAAGCUAGGGGCACGAACCGGAUUAGAUACCCGGGUAGUCCUAGCCGUAAACGAUACUCGCUAGGUGUCGGCCACGGUGCGACCGUUGUCGGUGCCGUAGGGAAGCCGUGAAGCGAGCCACCUGGGAAGUACGGCCGCAAGGCUGAAACUUAAAGGAAUUGGCGGGGG